rnacentral:rRNA from 1 species
UACGUAGGGCGCAAGCAUUGUCCGGAAUUAUUGGGCGUAAAGAGCUCGUAGGCGGCUUGUCACGUCGGGUGUGAAAGCCCGGGGCUUAACCCCGGGUCUGCAUUCGAUACGGGCAGGCUAGAGUUCGGUAGGGGAGAUCGGAAUUCCCGGUGUAGUGGUGAAAUGCGUAGAGAUCGGGAGGAACACCUGUGGCGAAGGCGGCCGACUGGGCCGACCCUGACGCUGAGGCGCGAAGGCGUGGGGAGCGAACGGG